rnacentral:rRNA from 1 species
AUUGAACGCUGGCGGAAUGCUUUACACAUGCAAGUCGAACGGUAGAGGGGGCAACCCCUUGAGAGUGGCGAACGGGUGAGUAAUAUAUCGGAACGUGCCCAGUCGUGGGGAUAACGUAGCGAAAGUUACGCUAAUACCGCAUACGAUCUAAGGAUGAAAGCGGGGGAUCGCAAGACCUCGCGCGAUUGGAGCGGCCGAUAUCAGAUUAGGUAGUUGGUGAGGUAAAGGCUCACCAAGCCAACGAUCUGUAGCUGGUCUGAGAGGACGACCAGCCACACUGGAACUGAGACACGGUCCAGACUCCUACGGGAGGCAGCAGUGGGGAAUUUUGGACAAUGGACGCAAGUCUGAUCCAGCCAUUCCGCGUGCAGGAUGAAGGCCCUCGGGUUGUAAACUGCUUUUGUACGGAACGAAAGGUUUCUAUUAAUACUAGGAGCUCAUGACGGUACCGUAAGAAUAAGCACCGGCUAACUACGUGCCAGCAGCCGCGGUAAU